rnacentral:rRNA from 1 species
CCUACGGGGGGCAGCAGUCGAGAAUCAUUCACAAUGGGGGAAACCCUGAUGGUGCGACGCCGCGUGGGGGAAUGAAGGUCUUAGGAUUGUAAACCCCUGUCAUGUGGGAGCAAAUUAAAAAGAUAGAACCACAAGAGGAAGAGACGGCUAACUCUGUGCCAGCAGCCGCGGUAAUACAGAGGUCGCAAGCGGUGUUCGGAAUCGCUGGGCGUAAAGCGUGCGUAGGCUGUUUCGUAAGUCGUGUGUGAAAGGCGCGGGCUCAAACCGCGGCAGGCACAUGAUACUGCCAGACUAGAGUAAUGGAGGGGGAUGCGGAAUUCGCGGUGUAGCAGUGAAAUGCGUAGAUAUCG